CGAACGGGUGAGUAACGCGUGGAUAACCUGCCGUAUACUGGGGGAUAACACUUAGAAAUAGGUGCUAAUACCGCAUAAGCGCACAGUCUCGCAUGAGACGGUGUGAAAAACUCCGGUGGUAUACGAUGGAUCCGCGUCUGAUUAGCUUGUUGGCGGGGUAACAGCCCACCAAGGCGACGAUCAGUAGCCGGCCUGAGAGGGUGAACGGCCACAUUGGGACUGAGACACGGCCCAAACUCCUACGGAAGGCAGCAG
rnacentral:rRNA from 1 species